UUGGAGGGCAAGUCUGGUGCCAGCAGCCGCGGUAAUUCCAGCUCCAAUAGCGUAUAUUAAAGUUGUUGCAGUUAAAAAGCUCGUAGUUGAAUUUCGGGAUCAAUGUUUCGGUCAUGCCGUUGGUAUGUACUGAUAUUAUUGGUUUCUCACCUUCUAAAGAACCGUAAUGCCAUUAAUUUGGUGUCACGGGGAAUUAGGACUGUUACCUUGAAAAAAUUAGAGUGUUUAAAGCAGGCUCACGCUUGAAUACAUUAGCAUGGAAUAAUGAAAUAGGACAUCCGAUUCUAUUUUGUUGGUUUCUAGGAUCGAUGUAAUGAUUAAUAGGGAUAGUUGGGGGCAUUAGUAUUCAAUUGUCAGAGGUGAAAUUCUUGGAUUUAUUGAAGACUAACUACUGCGAAAGCAUUUGCCAAGGAUGUUUUCAUUAAUCAAGAACGAAAGUUAGGGGAUCGAAGACGAUCGGAUACCGUCGUAGUCUUAACCAUAAACUAUGCCGACUAGGGAUCGGAUGAUGUUAAUUUUUUAAUGACUCAUUCGGCGCCUUACGGGAAAC
rnacentral:rRNA from 1 species